rnacentral:rRNA from 1 species
UGGGGAAUAUUGCACAAUGGAGGGAACUCUGAUGCAGCGACGCCGCGUGAACGAAGAAGGCUUUCGAGUCGUAAAGUUCUUUUAUAUGGGAAGAUAAUGACGGUACCAUAAGAAAAAGCCCCGGCUAACUACGUGCCAGCAGCCGCGGUAAUACGUUGGGGGCUAGCGUUGUCCGGAAUCACUGGGCGUAAAGGGUUCGCAGGCGGAAAUGCAAGUCAGGUGUAAAAGGCAGUAGCUUAACUGCUGUAAGCAUUUGAAACUGCAUAUCUUGAGAAGGGUAGAGGUAAGUGGAAUUUUUAGUGUAACGGUGAAAUGCGUAGAUAUUAAAAAGAAUACCGGUGGCGAAGGCAACUUACUGGGCUCAUUCUGACGCUGAGGAACGAAAGCGUGGGUAGCAAACAGG